rnacentral:rRNA from 1 species
GACGAACGCUGGCGGCGUGCCUAACACAUGCAAGUCGGACGGGGUUAAGUCUUCGGAUUUAACUUAGUGGCGAACGGGUGAGUAACGCGUGAGAAACCUGCCUUUCAGUGGGGGACAACAGCUGGAAACGGAUGCUAAUACCGGAUAUUAUGGUUUUUUCGCAUGGAGGAAUCAUGAAAGCUAGAUGCGCUAAGAGAGAGCUUUGCGUCCCAUUAGCUAGUUGGUGAGGUAACGGCCCACCAAGGCAAUGAUGGGUAGCCGGCCUGAGAGGGUGAACGGCCACAGGGGGACUGAGACACGGCCCUU